rnacentral:lncRNA from 1 species
AUGGAUGACAGUGGCGGUGCCGAGCGGCGGAUCUCUCCGUCACAACUCCGGACCACCACGAGCCUCUCUCCGUCGCCUCCCUCUCCCUCUCUUGAAGACGGCUGGGUGUCGAAGCCGCGGAUGACGGCAGCACGGGAGGCUCCUCUCCCUCUCAAUCGUCUCACUCUUCUGCUCCGGAUCAACCUCGAGCUGCUCUCCCUCGACCACCUCUCGGGGAUUGGCCCGGUGAUAGGCCGCAAAUCGCCGUCGGUGGUAGACUGCGGUGGCAGGGAGUUCAGACUUCAGACGACGACUUCAGACGACUUGCGAGUGCGUGGCUGGCACGAGUCCCGGUCGACGCUUGACGUCAAGAAAUCUCGCUUGUGGAAUUGUGGUGCUCUCGACAUAGGCCCUCACCCUGUUGAUGCGCGUCGGCUUGUCCGCUAAGAAAAUUCAU